rnacentral:lncRNA from 1 species
CCCAAAUCAGGGCGAACCAGGCAGGGCUGGGGCAGCCCCUGUGGGACAUCAGCCCCAGCUGGGUGAUGCUGGGGCAGAGACCAGAGCCACACCAGCAGCCACCUGCAAGCGAUUGGGGGCUGGGGGCCCUUAUAAGCAGCAGGGGAACUGCCCCCAGCUGGGUGCUUUGGCAUUUUCCGGCCCCAAGGGAUGGCAGCUUAUGUUUGGGGGUGCCAAGGAGCCGGCCUGGCCACGCCACGCGCCGCCUGGUUUCCUCCUUGGCUGUGCCAGACCCUUCCCCGCCAGCUGAGCUUGAGAAAUCACACUUCCCUGCCAGGCACGCUCGCCGCCUGUCUCUGGGCUAUUUUUGCCGCAUCCUUUUGGAGGCACAGCAGCCAGAACCGAGCACGGCGACUUCAGCAUUCAAAGGCAGACCGUAAGCUUUAAUGGAGCUGGUGGCAUUAUAAUAUUUGCACUCGCCUUCCCCACCGCUUUCCUAAUAUAGCCCGACACCGGCCGGGAUUUUCAACUGUGGCGGCGCGCGGAGCAGCUCCCUGCUGUCCUGUCACCCCCGACCUGGCAGGUGGGUACAAUUUUCCAUCAAAACUACUAUAUCUGGCAAAGCCUGAAAUUAAAAAAAUAAUAAUAGAGUGAUUCAGAGGCUGUUGGCUCCCAGGGCAGCGAGGUGCCAUGGGCAGCGUUCCCACCAGAGGUACCAGCGCGCUGGGCGGGCAGGUCUCGUGCUGCGGGAUGCUGCGUGGGGGCGCAGGCAGUGAGCUCUUCCAUCACUUGGCCGGAAAAAUAUGAUGUCCCACGCUAGGAUGGAGUCGGUCCCAGCAGGACCACCGCCGUGCCCUGUUCUGCCACCUGGCAAGCACCUCCUCACCCCUCCAGGGACGUGCACGCGAGAGACGGGAGCGGAGCGAGGUGAUGCGCGGUGCCGUGGCACGGCUUGCCCUCGACGUUCUUCAACCCCCCGGGCGCUGGAGCAGCGUGGAGCUGAUAGAAAGCAGAU